rnacentral:rRNA from 1 species
AUUGAACGCUGGCGGAAUGCUUUACACAUGCAAGUCGAACGGCAGCACGGGGGCAACCCUGGUGGCGAGUGGCGAACGGGUGAGUAAUACAUCGGAACGUGCCCAAUCGUGGGGGAUAACGUAGCGAAAGCUACGCUAAUACCGCAUACGAUCUACGGAUGAAAGCGGGGGAUCGCAAGACCUCGCGCGAAUGGAGCGGCCGAUGGCAGAUUAGCUUGUUGGUAGGGUAACGGCCUACCAAGGCUACGAUCAGUAGGGGUUCUGAGAGGAUUAACCCCCACACUGGUACUGAGACACGGACCAGACUCCUACGGGAGGCAGCAGUGAGGAAUAUUGGUCAAUGGGCGAAGCCUGAACCAGCCAUCCCGCGUGAAGGAAGACAGCCUUACGGGUUGUAAACUUCUUUUCUGUCAGAAGAAUAAGCUUGUCGAGACGAGUGAUGCCGGUAUGACAGGAAUAAGCAUCGGCUAACUCCGUGCCAGCAGCCGCGGU